AUCUUGCUCAGAAYGAMRACGCKGGCGGCGGUGCCUAMMACAUGCAAGUCGAACGGUAACAGGGCUAGCUUGCUAGCCGCUGACGAGUGGCGCACGGGUGAGUAACGCGUGGGUAACCUGCCCAUCAGUGGGGAAAAACUCCGGGAAACSGGAGCUAAUACCGCAUACGACCUUCGGGUGAAAGAGGGGGAUCUUCGGACCUCUCGCUGAUGGAUGGGCCCGCGUCCGAUUAGCUUGUUGGUGAGGUAAUGGCUCACCAAGGCUCCGAUCGGUAACUGGUUUGAGAGGAUGAUCAGUCACACUGGAACUGAGACACGGUCCAGACUCCUACGGGAGGCAGCAGUGGGGAAUUUUGCACAAUGGGCGAAAGCCUGAUGCAGCGACGCCGCGUGCGGGAAGAAGGCCUUCGGGUUGUAAACCGCUUUCAACAGGGAAGAAGGAAUGAGGGCUAAUACCCCUCUGCCUUGACGGUACCUGUAGAAGAAGCACCGGCUAAUUUCGUGCCAGCAGCCGCGGUAAUACGAAAGGUGCAAGCGUUGUUCGGAUUUACUGGGCGUAAAGCGCGCGUAGGCGGCUAAUCAAGUCGGAUGUGAAAUCCCGGGGCUCAACCCCGGAACUGCAUUCGAAACUGGUUGGCUAGAGUUCGAGGAGGGGGAUGCGGAAAUUCCGAGGUGUAGCAGUGAAAUGCGUAGAUAUUCGGAGGAACACCUGAGGGCGAAGGCGGCAUCCUGGAUCGACACUGACGCUGAGGUGCGAAAGCGUGGGUAGCAAACAGGAUUAGAUACCCCUGGUAGUCCMCGCCCUAAACGAUGUCUACUAGCCGUUGCGGGUAUCGAMCCCUGCAGUGGCAAAGCUAACGCGAUAAGUAGACCSCCKSGGGRGUACGGCGCGCAAGACURAUAAAAGAUCGUG
rnacentral:rRNA from 1 species